CCCAAUGUGAACCAUACCAAACUGUUGCCUCGGCGGGGUCACGCCCCGGGUGCGUCGCAGCCCCGGAACCAGGCGCCCGCCGGAGGGACCAACCAAACUCUUUUCUGUAGUCCCCUCGCGGACGUUAUUUCUUACAGCUCUGAGCAAAAAUUCAAAAUGAAUCAAAACUUUCAACAACGGAUCUCUUGGUUCUGGCAUCGAUGAAGAACGCAGCGAAAUGCGAUAAGUAAUGUGAAUUGCAGAAUUCAGUGAAUCAUCGAAUCUUUGAACGCACAUUGCGCCCGCCAGUAUUCUGGCGGGCAUGCCUGUCCGAGCGUCAUUUCAACCCUCGAACCCCUCCGGGGGGUCGGCGUUGGGGACCUCGGGAGCCCCUAAGACGGGAUCCCGGCCCCGAAAUACAGUGGCGGUCUCGCCGCAGCCUCUCCUGCGCAGUAGUUUGCACAACUCGCACCGGGAGCGCGGCGCGUCCACGUCCGUAAAACACCCAACUUCUGAAAAUGUUGACCUCGGAUCAGGUAGGAAUACCCGCUGAACUUAA
rnacentral:rRNA from 1 species